rnacentral:rRNA from 1 species
CAAAACUUUCAACAACGGAUCUCUUGGUUCUGGCAUCGAUGAAGAACGCAGCGAAAUGCGAUAAGUAAUGUGAAUUGCAGAAUUCAGUGAAUCAUCGAAUCUUUGAACGCACAUUGCGCCCUCUGGUAUUCCGGGGGGCAUGCCUGUUCGAGCGUCAUUACACCCCUCAAGCAAUG